UCAAACAGGUUAUACCUGUGUAAUGUAAGACGUAGUUUGAAAGCAUGAAAUAGGUCAGAGUGCGUGUAAUACAAAGUAGAUAGGUGUUUCCUUCAGUAAACUUAAAUGAUAAAUUGAAAUUCGAAUUAUUGAGAAUAUUAUUGUUUUAUUAAGAGGAUUUUACAGUUCUGUAGGAGUGUUAAUUGUUUGGAUAGUUAGGAUCUUGAACAGAAUUAAAGAUGUGGGUAAGAUUAUUGAUAUUGGUGAAGAUGUUGGCGUUAGUUUAUACUUUAAACCAAUUCGUCGUUGACAGCGAUACGGUGAACCAACCCGUAGAUAGCGAUACUGUGAACAUCGAUGAUUUAAAACAAUUCGUAGAUAUCGAUACGGUGAACCAACCCUCAGAUGAUGAGAUAUACAAUCCGCCAUUUGUAGGUACCAAUUGGUUAAUAGAUCUAUGGUGUAUUUAUAACCAGCAAAAAGGAAUAUACCCCAUACCUCGCUACUGUAAUUUGAAGCAACAAAUUUAAAAACACACGGAAUUGUUCACCACAGAUUAAGAUUGCACUUUGUACGCCCUUUGUUGUUUUUUUAAAUGCAGGAGGCGCCAUUUGCAUUUUCGCUAAAAUAUCGAGUUUCCAACGACUGUACUCAUCUUGAUUAUUUGACAUUUACUUAAGAAAACAAAAUCAAAAUAUCAACGCUAGAUAAAUCUCAUCGCUUGGAUUAACCCGGAUUUAAACUAAGCCAAGUAUGUUUCUCAACUACCAUGGGAAUAAAAGAUGGCGGCGUCUUGUUACACUCGAUGAAAAUACAUUUUAUCAUAACUCUAUAAAUACUGGACGGAAUUGAUUUAUUACUAGGCUGAUGAUAUUCCUAGGCUGAUGAUAUUCCUAUUAGAGAUUAAAUGUUCAAAGAGUUGCAAGGGAUUCCUAUAGCGCAUCGAGUCUUUUAUAUUUAGCAAAAACGAACAAUGCAAGGAUCGAUUUCAAAUGUUGUCGAUCAUUUGAUUAUCCUGCUUGGCGUCUAUAG